CUCCCACCCGUGUCUAUCGUACCUUGUUGCUUCGGCGGGCCCGCCGUUUCGACGGCCGCCGGGGAGGCCCUGCGCCCCCGGGCCCGCGCCCGCCGAAGACCCCAACAUGAACGCUGUUCUGAAAGUAUGCAGUCUGAGUUGAUUAUCGUAAUCAGUUAAAACUUUCAACAACGGAUCUCUUGGUUCCGGCAUCGAUGAAGAACGCAGCGAAAUGCGAUAAGUAAUGUGAAUUGCAGAAUUCAGUGAAUCAUCGAGUCUUUGAACGCACAUUGCGCCCCCUGGUAUUCCGGGGGGCAUGCCUGUCCGAGCGUCAUUGCUGCCCUCAAGCACGGCUUGUGUGUUGGGCCCCCGUCCCCCUCUCCCGGGGGACGGGCCCGAAAGGCAGCGGCGGCACCGCGUCCGGUCCUCGAGCGUAUGGGGCUUUGUCACCUGCUCUGUAGGCCCGGCCGGCGCCAGCCGACACCCAACUUUAUUUUUCUAAGGUUGACCUCGGAUCAGGUAGGGAUACCCGCUGAACUUAAGCAUAUCAAAG
rnacentral:rRNA from 1 species